rnacentral:rRNA from 1 species
AAGAACGAAAGUUAGGGGAUCGAAGACGAUCAGAUACCGUCGUAGUCUUAACCAUAAACGAUGCCGACCAGCGAUUAGGAGACGUUGAAUACAAAACACCACCAUCAGACGGCGGAUCAUCUCCACGCAAGUGGGGGUGGCUCGUUUCUCUGGUGGCCCGGUGAAUGACUCCCCUAGCAGCUUGUGAGAA